UUACUUUCAUUCAGCGGUGUCAAGAGCAAUUUACCCAAUACAAAAAGAACCCUGCAUUUUCCUGAAAUUACUGUUUAAGCCACUAUAGCACGCAGUCCGCGUUGCGCUUAAACUCACCUCCCCUGCACUAUACUUCCCUCACGCCAAUUUCAUUCAUUUCCGGCAAAGCUUUCCGAAAAACUGGAGCUCUAAUUCUCCAAAUCUUUCUCUCUCUACAGAAAUCUGGCAAAACGAUGGUUGUGGCUCAGAAAGUGAAGGAAUCAGAAAUUAUGGAGCAGGACUCACUACUCCUGCUGGGGAUUUGGAGUGUUGCUGGUAUGACUCCUUCUGUUGGAGAUUAGAGUCCUUUCUGCUGUGGAACAGAAUGUUAUGUUCGCCGAUUUUGGAGCGGAGCUGCUGGUGAUGUCGGGAGCUGACUCUGAGGAUGUUCGUGCCUUCUGGAUGUGGCUACCACUUGUCCCUGGGUAGUCCUAGAGAUGGAUUCUGUUUAAGUACCUUUCAAACAGAAGUUGUAUUUAUUUCAUAUUCGUUUUUACAACAAUCUAGUCUUAGUAGCUCAUGUCUUGUACUACCAGUCCUUGGGAUUUUAUAUGGAAAUUCAGUUAUAUCGAUUGCUGAUACAUUUAUUUUAUUAGGAUUGUGUUAACUGUUAAUUGGCUGACCGUCGAGUUAGGUGCUAUCACGACUUGUGGAUUUUGGGUCGUGACAGCAUGUAUGACAACAAGAUAGGACGGUUGGAUUUGGACUGUAAUUAGAUAGUUAUAUGUUUGCACUGAUAUAAUUAUAUCACAGGCUGAGUAGUUCAGCAUCUCAGAAUAGCAUCGCUUGAAAUAAUGAUAAAGCUAAAGAAUAUCCAUUUGAUGUUAAUUUUAUAUCAUUUGUGACACUAUAAUCUAAGCCUGAGGAUAACUGAUAGUGCUAGUUCUCUACUUGCAGUUUCUUUCUGUUAUUCAAACUCUGACAGCCAAGAAAGUGUCAAUGGAUAUGAAACGAAUUGGAAUGAACACGGGGAAAAUUCAAGUGUGACUCAACCACUGAAAUAACACCCAAUCAGAUGAGGAGUUCUGCGCAUAAAAUGGUCCGUACAUAUAUUCAGUUGAUGAGAACUUUGGAUAAGAUGCCAGAAGAGGAUGUGGACAUGAACUAAAUCAGGUAAUCCAACAAUUCAGAACUUCCUCUAGUGUUUACUCAAGUCAAUUUAUGGCUGUCGUCAAGACUACUAUCACAAACUCUACGACAGCUUUAGUGCGGGUUAAUUUCACUGACGAUCACUUAACUAUGUUUCGAUUUUAUUAAAGUCACUCAAUUUUUUUUGUCACUUAAAAGUAACUAAACUUUCUCAUUGUCAGUUAAAAGUCAUUUUGGCUCAAACUCUUGCCAUAAAUAUGACAUGACAUAAAAUUUAAUGAGAAAAAUCCAAAAAUAAAUGUCACAUAAGCUUAAAUAGACUAUACCCACUUUAGAUCCAUUUCUCCUUUAAGGUGAUUUGACCUAUAACCCAAAUGGGUUUCAAUAGGGGAAAAAAAAACACCCCUAAUAAAAUUAGGUCCUGUGAUGUUUUUGUAGGAUUUUUAUCGUACAAGUACAAUAUUUCUUUUGUCUAAACAAUUGCAAUAGGUUGUUUUAAGUGUAUGUUCAUUUUGAAAAUAGACUCUUAUUAGCCUAAUUAUUAUUAUUCUCGUAUGCUUAUGAUACAUUAAUAUGUUAUGUAAGAUGAAUACAAUACUAUUUUAAUUUCACUAGAAAAUUAUAAAUAUGUUAUAUGAGUUGGAUACAAUACUAUUUUAACUUCAAUAGAGUUAUAAAACGACUUGGAUGAGGCAUACAAAUAAGAUAAGCAUUUUUUUAGUAUAGAAUAAUUAUAAAUGGGCAUUAUGUAACAGAAAAGAUAAGAAUUUUGUAGUAUACGAUAAUCAUUUUAAACUAAUGUGAAAUUUAAUAUUUUUUUAUUGAAAACAUUUGGGUUAUGGGUCAAAUCACAUUAAGGAAGAAAUGGAUUUAAAUUGAGUAUGAUCCAUUUAAGCUUAUGUGACAUUUAUUUUUGGAUUUUUCUCACUAAAUUUUAUGUCAUGUCAUAUUUAUGGUAGGAGUUUGAGCCAAAAUGACUUUUAAGCGACAAAAAAUAAUUGAGUGACUUUAGUAAAAUUAAAACAUAGUUGAGUGACCAUCGGUGAAAUUACAAUCAUAGAGAUCUAUCCACCUGCGGUGCUCUCCACUCUAUUGGAUCAGAUCUCACACGAUCAAGACAGAAGUCUGAUGCAUACCAGAAUGGCUCUCUUGAGCGAUCGAACUGUCUCAAAGAGAAGAAACCAUGAAAACAAACCUCAAGCAGAGCUGAGCCUGUAGCUUCUCGUGAGAGUUUCAUAGCUGGGAAUGAGAAUGGAAAAACUAUAUGGAAGCACAAACAAAGAUAAUGAGUCUGAAACAGUUGUCUGUAGCAGGUGCAAGUCUAGUCAGUAUACGCGUACGUAACAGGAAAGCAAGCAUCGUAUGCAUCAAAUUUCUCCAGAGGAACUUGGUUACACUUCGCAAUCUAGAAGAUCAUUCUUCUUGUUACCUUUUUUGGGGUCUACAGGUAAAAGAGCCUAUUCUUCAGUAUGUGAAACGCCAAAAAGCUAAAAUUUGUUGAAGGUUCGUGAACCUGGAUUCUCAGUUAGUGACAUUUCUUGGUAGUUUACUUAGAAGUCUUCUUGUAAUAAUCCGAGCAGUUUUACUCCUAUUUGUUUCAUCUUGGAAAUUUCACUUGUUAACUAGUAGCAUAUAUACUGUUGGACAUGA